UGCAAGUCGAGCGGUAAGGUUCUGCACUUAGUAUUUGAUCGUAUUAGCUUGCUAUGACAAUGUAUUUAUACUGACCUAAGGCUAGGUUAACAUAAACGCGUUGAGAUCGAAUAAUGAGUGUAGAAUACACGAGCGGCGGACGGCUGAGUAACACGUAGGAACGUACCCCAAACUGAGGGAUAAGCACCAGAAAUGGUGUCUAAUACCGCAUGUGAUCUUCGGAUUAAAGCUUCGGCGGUUUGGGAACGGCCUGCGUAAGAUUAGCUUGUUGGUGAGGUAAUAGCUCACCAAGGCGACGAUCUUUAGCUGGUCUGAGAGGAUGAUCAGCCAGACUGGGACUGAGAACGGCCCAGACUCCUACGGGAGGCAGCAGUAGGGAAUUUUCCACAAUGGACGCAAGUCUGAUGGAGCAACGCCGCGUGCAGGAUGAAUGCCUUAGGGUUGUAAACUGCUUUUCUCUGUGACGAAUAUGACGGUAGCAGAGGAAUAAGGACCUGCUAACUACGUGCCAGCAGCCGCGGUCAUACGUAGGGUCCAAGCGUUAUCCGGAAUUACUGGGCGUAAAGAGUUGCGUAGGUGGCAUAGUAAGCGAAUAGUGAAAUGAUGUGGCUCAACCACAUGUCCAUUAUUUGAACUGCUAAGCUAGAGAACGAGAGAGGUUAUUGGAAUUCCUAGUGUAGGAGUGAAAUCCGUAGAUAUUAGGAGGAACACCGAUGGCGUAAGCAGAUAACUGGCUCGUUUCUGACACUAAGGCACGAAAGCGUGGGGAGCAAACGGGAUUAGAUACCCCGGUAGUCCACGCCGUAAACUAUGGAUGCUAGCUGUUAGAGGUAUCGACCCCUCUAGUAGCGAAGCUAACGCGUUAAGCAUCCCGCCUGU
rnacentral:rRNA from 1 species